GGGGCUUUUAGUCUUGCAAUUGGAAUGAGUACAAUUUAAAUCCCUUAACGAGGAUCCACUAGAGGGCAAGUCUGGUGCCAGCAGCCGCGGUAAUUCCAGCUCUAGUAGCGUAUAUUAAAGUUGUUGCAGUUAAAAAGCUCGUAGUUGAAUUUUUGUGUCGGAGCUUGCGUCUUUACCCUCGCGGGUGAAGUUCGUGUUGGUUCUGUCCUUUUUUGUGGUGGGCCGUGGGGGGUCGUUGAUUCGUCCUUCUGCGGCAAAAAGACCGCCGCAUCGUUUACUGUGAAAAAAUUAGAGUGUUUCAAGCAGGCGUUUUGCUUUUGAAUACUAUAGCAUGGAAUAAUAAGAUAGGACUUUGGUACUAUUUUGUUGGUUUGCAUACCAAGGUAAUGAUUAAUAGGGACAGUUGGGGGUAUUCGUAUUUC
rnacentral:rRNA from 1 species